ACCCGGAGCUGUUUCCACUCGGAUGCCAGAACAGACCGGACAACAAUCAAAUCGCAGAAUCUUUUUUCUCCAUCGUCAAACUCCCGUUAAAUAUUCCCCCGGUGGGCUUUUCGUUGCGUUAUUGUAACAUUUCAAAAGUUAAUGGCCGCUCGGUCGUGGUUGGACCGGAUUAAAAGGACGUCAGUGCGACGGUAACGUUAGUUGAACCCGUAGCGUCGCUGUGUGUGAACCGCUACAUGCUACGUGUACAGUUUUAACGGGGAACCCCGAGGGAGGCUGCUAGCUAACGAGCUAACAGGACAAACCGGCUACGAAGAUGGAGGAAGUCGCUGAAUGAGGGUCCAGUGUAAUGAGCCCGUGUUUACACGCAGCGGAGGGCCGGGAGGGUUUGCGUGGAGGGUUGUCCAUCACGGAGGACAGUCGGGACGAUGAGACGAUAGUCUGAGGGACAAAACACGCUGUUGUUUUCUAAUUAAACCGCUCUGGAAUCAGUCUCAGAAGAUGAUGUACUCGUCGAGAAGAAAGCCUGUGCUCUACUUCAAAGAGGAGAGACGGUUCCUUUCUGGUAAAUGUACAAUCUACAAGCUGUUCGGCCUCUGCAUGGUGCUGCUGCUCGUCUCCCUCGUGUGGCUGCAGCUCGGCUGCUCCGGGGAAAUGUCGACCGAUGUGCGUGCUGAUCGCCGCCCCCCCCUGCCGCCGCCACCGCUGUGUCCCGCCGACGGCGGCCAGGCGUCUGUGGCGGACGAUCCCUCGUGGGGUCCCCACAAACUGGCCCUCAUCGUGCCCUUCAGGGAGCGCUUCGACGAGCUGAUGGCUUUUGUUCCCUUUAUGCACGCGUUCCUCAACAAGAAGAAGAUCCGCCACAAGAUCGUCGUCAUCAACCAGGUGGAUCACUACAGGUUCAACCGGGCCUCCCUGAUCAACGUGGGCUUCCUGGAGAGCAGCAACGACACGGACUACCUGGCCAUGCACGACGUGGACCUGCUGCCCCUCAACGAGGCGCUCGACUACGGCUUCCCGGUGGAGGGGCCCUUCCACGUGGCCUCGCCCGAGCUGCACCCGCUGUACCACUACAAGACCUACGUGGGGGGGAUCCUGCUGCUCACCAAGAAGCACUACCGCGCGUGUAACGGGAUGUCAAACCGGUUCUGGGGUUGGGGACGAGAGGACGACGAGUUCUACAGACGACUGAGGAAAGCUGAGCUACAGCUCUUCAGACCGAGUGGAAUCACAACGGGAUACAAAACCUUCCUCCACAUCCACGACUCGGCCUGGAGGAAGAGAGACCAGAAGAGGGUCGCCUCUCAGAAACAGGAGCAGUUCAAGGUGGACCCGGAGGGGGGGCUGACUAACAUCCGGUACCAGGUGGACUCCAGACAGGAGCUGACCAUCAGCGGCGCUCCCUGCACCGUCAUCAACGCCAAGCUGGAGUGUGACCAGGACCUGACGCCCUGGUGCCUGCUGGCCUGAUGGAGGCGUUUACCCAGCAGUGCCUCGCGCCUCCGCUGCUCAUGUUUCUGUUAUAUAUUUAUUUUUCAUCCGCAGCCGGAAAACCAAAAGAAAGAAAAAAGGAUACGGACGGAACAUCUGUAACUUCUUCAUAGAAUCGUUGUCCAGUAAAUCAGAAAGACGUUUUCUGGCCGUACAAAAGCUCCUGAAGAUGUUUCUGACCCGCCCCGUGACUUUAGCCCCUAUCGACCAUGAGGUGGGGGGCCGGGCUCACCGGGGGUCGGUCUUUAUUUACUGGGAUUGUGCAAAAGGAGAUUUAUUGAUGGUUUUGUUUUAUCUUUUUACAGACUACUAACAGAGAAAUGGUGUUUUUAUUCUUCUGCUGUUGAGAUGAAGAGUUUAAUGUAAUUAAGCAGCAAAUUCAUGUAUUUGUUCCUCUUGAACAGAACAGAUCAUACAUGAGAUAUUUAAUAAUAAUAACAAAACAAACCCCAAAAUGUAUUUCCUGUUCCCUGCAGAGUAAACUGAGCCUGACUGAUAACAGAUAACAUCUGUAUUUCAUCCCGGGGCGGACAGACUUCUCGUAGUGCGACUUGUCUUCAUCAUCAUCUUCAUUGCGUAUAAAACAAAGCGCUUCAGUUCUGUCAGAAAAGUAACGUUGAAGAAUACAGACUGACAUAAAGCCUAAAACAUGGGCCAGCCUGUUGAUCGAUCACGCAGAUCCAUCGAUCGGAGACUUCUCAUCAGUCAUGAACGUGAGCGAGAAGCUCCGGUUUGUCUCCCCCUGUGGUCGGAGGAGGAACUACGCGAUCACCGUGUGGGCCGUGAAGUCACAGCUGCUGAUUGCUCGCACGGCUUCCUGCGAUCAGAUCAUCCAGGCUGCUUUUCUCCUGCAGACUGACCAUGCAGCCACCUCACAGCCCCCAGGGUGCCAUUCUCUCCUUUAGCUGGAGGUAACGGUCAUAGAGACACCUCUCUUCCUCGGCAAAUAGACUCCCGCAUCCUUUUUUUGGUCAUUAUGGAGCUUUUAUCCCGGCUGUAAUGUGAGAUGAUGGGGAAUCGUAGAGUUAUAAUAACCUGCGCAGGUAUUUACCGACCUUGAGAACUCAUUCAUUUCAUUUCAUCCUUUUUUCAUAAACGCCGGUGGAGGUUUGAGUCUUCCCCUCUCUCGUAGUAUUCGAUGUACUAUUCUCACAUGAGGGUCCUUAGAGCUUCAUGUGAACCAGCAGGGGGCGCACUAAAGAAGAACAACCUCACACUGUGUACUGUCGCGCGCCCUGUGACGUCAUGAAUACAUCAUGACGACUUGACGGAUGAAUAUCCUGUAAACUAUUUGCUGAAGAAUAAGCAAAGUCCUGUUUCUAAAGCAUCCAGAAACUAAUCUGGCUUUUGAAUCUGUUUUUUUAACGUUUUUAUGAGUCAACAAGCUGUCUGAAAGAAUCAGGAGAGAAAGUUUCACACAUACAAUACAUUUAAAACUGGUUUCAGCCUUGAGUUUAUUGACUUAAUUUGAUGAUUUAAACACAUACUGUUGAGUUGGUGUAUUUAUUCCUUUAAUGAAUUCAGUUCUGAGUUUAAAUGAGAUUUUAAAAAUA